rnacentral:rRNA from 1 species
ACUCCUACGGGAGGCAGCAGUAGGGAAUCUUCCACAAUGGGCGCAAGCCUGAUGGAGCAACACCGCGUGAGUGAAGAAGGGUUUCGGCUCGUAAAGCUCUGUUGUUAAAGAAGAACACGUAUGAGAGUAACUGUUCAUACGUUGACGGUAUUUAACCAGAAAGUCACGGCUAACUACGUGCCAGCAGCCGCGGUAAUACGUAGGUGGCAAGCGUUAUCCGGAUUUAUUGGGCGUAAAGAGAGUGCAGGCGGUUUUCUAAGUCUGAUGUGAAAGCCUUCGGCUUAACCGGAGAAGUGCAUCGGAAACUGGAUAACUUGAGUGCAGAAGAGGGUAGUGGAACUCCAUGUGUAGCGGUGGAAUGCGUAGAUAUAUGGAAGAACACCAGUGGCGAAGGCGGCUAUCUGGUCUGCAACUGACGCUGAGACUCGAAAGCAUGGGUAGCGAACAGGAUUAGAUACCCUGGUAGGAUAGCG